rnacentral:rRNA from 1 species
UACGUAGGGACCAAGCGUUGUUCGGAUUUACUGGGCGUAAAGGGCGCGUAGGCGGUGCGGUAAGUCACUUGUGAAAUCUCUGAGCUUAACUCAGAACGGCCAAGUGAUACUGCAGUGCUAGAGUGCGGAAGGGGCAAUCGGAAUUCUUGGUGUAGCGGUGAAAUGCGUAGAUAUCAAGAGGAACACCUGAGGUGAAGACGGGUUGCUGGGCCGACACUGACGCUGGAGCGCGAAAGCCAGGGGAGCAAACGGG